rnacentral:rRNA from 1 species
CCUACGGGGGGCAGCAGUGGGGAAUAUUGGACAAUGGGGGCAACCCUGAUCCAGCCAUGCCGCGUGUGUGAAGAAGGCCCUCGGGUUGUAAAGCACUUUCAGUGAGGAAGAACGCCUGGUGGUUAAUACCCUUCAGGAAAGACAUCACUCACAGAAGAAGCACCGGCUAACUCCGUGCCAGCAGCCGCGGUAAUACGGAGGGUGCGAGCGUUAAUCGGAAUUACUGGGCGUAAAGCGCGCGUAGGUGGCUUGAUAAGCCGGUUGUGAAAGCCCCGGGCUCAACCUGGGAACGGCAUCCGGAACUGUCAAGCUAGAGUGCAGGAGAGGAAGGUAGAAUUCCCGGUGUAGCGGUGAAAUGCGUAGAGAUCGGGAGGAAUACCAGUGGCGAAGGCGGCCUUCUGGACUGACACUGACACUGAGGUGCGAAAGCGUGGGUAGCAAACAGGAUUAGAUACCCGAGUAGUC